rnacentral:rRNA from 1 species
UCUGGUGACAAUGGCAAGGAGGUCACACCUGUUCCCAUGCCGAACACAGAAGUUAAGCUCCUUAGCGCCGAUGGUAGUCGGACUGACGUUCCG